rnacentral:rRNA from 1 species
GAUGAACGCUGGCGGCGUGCCUAAUACAUGCAAGUCGAGCGAACGGACGAGAAGCUUGCUUCUCUGAUGUUAGCGGCGGACGGGUGAGUAACACGUGGAUAACCUACCUAUAAGACUGGGAUAACUUCGGGAAACCGGAGCUAAUACCGGAUAAUAUUUUGAACCGCAUGGUUCAAAAGUGAAGGACGGUCUUGCUGUCACUUAUAGAUGGAUCCGCGCUGCAUUAGCUAGUUGGUAAGGUAACGGCUUACCAAGGCAACGAUGCAUAGCCGACCUGAGAGGGUGAUCGGCCACACUGGAUCUGAGACACGGUCCAGACUCCUACGGGAGGCAGCAGUAGGGAAUCUUCCGCAAUGGGCGAAAGCCUGACGGAGCAACGCCGCGUGAGUGAUGAAGGUCUUCGGAUCGUAAAACUCUGUUAUUAGGGAAGAACAUAUGUGUAAGUAACUGUGCACAUCUUGACGGUACCUAAUCAGAAAGCCACGGCUAACUACGUG